GAUGAACGCUGGCGGCGUGCUUAACACAUGCAAGUCGAACGGUGAAGCCGGAGAUUGUUCUGCUGGGUGAGUGGCGAACGGGUGAGAAACCCGUGAGUAACCUGCCCCUGACUCUGGGAUAAGGACUGGAAACGGCGUAUAAUACUGGAUAUGCGCUGGAAAGUCAGGUUCAGCAGGUGGAAAGAACUUUGGGAAGGGAUGGGCUCGCGGCGUAUCAUCUUGUUGGUGAGGUAACGGAUCACCAAGGCGUCGAAGGGUAGCCGGCCUGAGAGGAUGACCGGCCACACUGGGACUGAGACACGGCCCAGAGUCGUACUUGAGGCAGCAGUGGCGAAUAUUGCACAGUGGGCCCACGCGUGAGGCAGCAGCGUCGCGUUUGGGAAGACGGCCUUCGGGUUGUAAACCUGUUUUAGCUGGGAAGAAGCGCUAGUGACGGUACCUGCAGAAUAAGCACCGGCUAACUACGUG
rnacentral:rRNA from 1 species